rnacentral:lncRNA from 1 species
AACUAACUCAAACGGGUCAGCUAUCAAGAGAGCUAGUACUCUUUGAAAUCGGUUUCGACUACUCGUGUGUAAGUCUUACCCAGGUACUUGUACAACCAAGCAACACUGAACCAUCGAUGAACCUGCGAACGAAGUCGCGUUAAUCGUUGUACCUACAUAUUGCAGUGGCUUUGUCUAUCAACGGGGAAAGAAGGAACGUAGAAGGCCGUGUUCCCGGGCACAAUAUCAGCGUAGGUGAAUGGAAGACGGAGCGUGGCGGCGCGUGUCACGUGUUCCCUCGAAUAAUAUGUAAACGCGCGUGCAGCCCGGGCACGUCGAACGGAAGACAGAGCGGCGGGGCCAAGUGUUUGUCAGCAUCGCGAAACGUCAUAAUGGAGCCUCGAUGCUAAUAACGGAUUUUCGAAAGGGCAAUGCGCCCGGUGCAAGCAGGCGCGUGCAACGACGCAGAGAAAUCAGGCAGGCACGCACAGCGCGAAACAGAGAAAGACAGCGCCCCGUUAUACGAUCGUCGUUUCCCCCAGGAAGCCGUCGAAUCCUCGCUCCGCACGCCCACGCAAACACGACUGCGGCGAGACGAGUAGAAAAAAAGAAAUUGGAGGCACACGAUAUAAUGACGACGCUGACAAAAGGACAAAACGGUUACGCCCUCUAUACUGCUGCGACUACUACUCGCCGUUACGGGUCGUCUUUGACUCCCGUUGAAUAUUUAUAACUCGCUUUCGAAUCAUGCUUUUUACGGUAGUCGAGGGGAGAGAGCGCUCGACGAAACGAGUACGAGACUCCGUUUGUUUGAUGUAUCGUGACGAGUGGAAAUCAAUUUUAAUUGAAUUGAUUAUAAGCUAACCGUGGAGGAGGCGGUCGCGGUAAAGCCCCGAUCGGGCGCGAGCCUUUCGCGAGACCUCGAGGAUCCGCGGAAAACACAGUAAUGAACUUCGCGAAUCUCGUAUUCAUGUAUUCCACGCGCGCUCGUCUCCCGUUGUCUGCCACCGAUGCGUUCAUCCAAGGGACCAUCGAUCCACUUAUUCCAGUUAAAACGAGUCAGCCUUAAGACGCGUUUACACUAGGCAAGUAGGUAGUACCGAGUUACCCGUACGAUUAUUAAUGAUCUACUUUUGCAGGAACACACAAAAACCCAACGUAAUUCUCGAAGCACAUCAAGAGACUGUGACAUAACACGGAUAAGUUCAGUGAGAGAUCCCGAGAUUCAGCGAUUUGACAGUGUAAGGAGACUAUCAGUGACGCAUGAUAAUCGUACACUCUGAUUCAAUCGAGCUCGUAAUGAGAGGUGGCAAACAUCGUCAAUAUUAUCGAGGGUCGAAGGGGUGGUCCUGUGAAUUCGUCUACCAGUUUAUAGAGUCCUGUCUUUAUUCCAGGAGCUAGCUCGGCUUUCUCCCGUUCUCUACGGCAACAAUAACAUCCCCCGUGGAUUCCAACCCUGGAACGGCUUCGAGGGACCCCCACGGUAAUCCUCACCCUCGCCGAAAAAAGGGCCAAAGGGGGAGGGUUUAACAGUUUACACGUCGGAUCAUCCCUCGUUAUUGUUGCGUUUAUGAUAAUAGCAGCCGACUGCCACGCACGCAGACCCGGCUGACCGCUUCAACCCCAUCCUAAGGGUCAAGAUCGUUACCACGCUCAGGUAUUUAAUUAGACGGCUCUGCCGAUGCUGUACCUCUCGUUACGGUAUUAAUUUCACUGUUUCCAUAGGAGCAUAACUUCUUCCACUUUACUGGAUACGUUUUUGUGUUGGAUUCAUUUACGCUGAAGCCUCUUGGCGGUAAUGGCAAUAUCUACAUCAACAAUGUCUACUUUGUCUAUCGCUGCGUGUAAUAUGAUUGUUGCAUUUAAUUUUCAUCAGUUCCCGUUUAAACGAAAUUAAACAUUUUUAAUGCGUUCAAUUUUACGUACUGCAUAGACACAUUUAUCCGCUGUUUCAGGGAGAAGGAUUCAAUAUGGUGGUGAUAGCGAUUUAAUUGGAAAGUUUCGGUCGUUUGGAAAAAAUGAUUUUCCAAUAUUAAGAUGGCGGACAAUUAAUUACAAAAUGAAAGCUCCGCCUGCUCGACGCUGAAGCCCGCGAAAUUGUAUUGGAAAGGCAGAGGGGAAACGAUGGAAAGAGAGAGAUAUUCGUUCAUACGUUAGGUAGUAUAUGCGCUGUGCGUUGCCUAUCCGCCAUGGGUAUUGGAUUGGAUUGGAUCGCCGCGUCAGCAAUACAAACACUCGAAGCCUCGAUGUGGGUCGGCCUCUCCCGUUCCUGUUUCAAACUGAAAUUACACUUUCCCGUCCGACCCGACGUCCCCCCUCACCCCCAUCUAUAGCCCCAUUUUUAUUCUUCGCGUUUGUCGUUUUUCCAUUCGUCAUAAAACGUUUUGCCAAAGUUUUUGUCGAAGUUCACCGUUAAAAACCAAUCGCCAUUUUCAACGGUUUUAACAGCACGGAACUCUGAUUUUAUCAGGUUGUUGUAUAUCAAAUGGCCAUGGAAUAACAUUUAUCAUGUAUCAAUUCAAACUUUAAAAUUUUAUCAAAAUUAAUGCAUCAAUGUUUCAUCGAUAUCGUUAGUUCCAGCUGACUGCUGGCUGGAGCACUUUAUAGCUUAGCAAUAUCCACUGGCGAAUAUUUAGUUUGCCUGCGUUUCGAUAGCAGACAUUUUGAUUUAUUUCUCUGUGGAGAGUCUGCAGUUUACAGAGUACGAAAUCCUUUUUGGAAACAAUCCCUAUACGGAGGUCAUGAAAGUUUAAUCUUUAAACUGUUGCAUUAUUGAUUAGUCUCCAUUUAUUUAAAAAUGAAAUUACAUGUCUUAACAAGAAUUCGAAGUACAUUAUAUUUUUACGUUUCAGCGAUUUCAAUGAUGCCAGAAGUUCCGUGAACCGUUCAAAGCUCCAGGAAAAUUGGUCGCAAACUGUGAAGCCGGGAGACGACUUUCACGGAAGAGGAAUCAGAGAGGAGGUCGACUGCGAGCGUCGGAGCGUUUCCGUUCGAAGGAUUAGAAAAUUAAAGGCGGAGGCACAGGUCGGCGGAGUUCGAGGCGCGUAUAAAUUCUCUCCCCCGCGAACGGGAGAAAAAGACCCGUGGCGGGCGCAGCACGGAAAUCGAAACCCUUUAACCGCGCUUUCCUCGAGAGGCGAGACCAACCGACUAACUCGAAUGAAAAGGCACCGGUGCUGGUAAGAGACACUUCGUGCACGCUCCUGCUGGCGUGUAUCCGAGCACGAGAGAAAGAAGAAAAAAUGGAAGGAGGAGAGAACGAGAGGGGGCAAAGAGGAAGGAGAAGACGCUUAUUUAGCUUACCUUUUACUUACACGUGCUAUACAAUGUUUACCUACACUCGUCUAAGCGUAUAAGACUGGAGGGACUGCUCGAGAGGAAUAAUGUUUGCGCAAGAAGAAUGGAUAUGCGAUUUCGAUAUUUAAAAAAGAAAGGGAUAAGGGAAACUAGUGUGUAUCAAGGUUGCCACGAUGCUGACUUUCUAACGGGAAGGUUGUUGAUUCCCUUACAAUAGUCAAAGCGGCCAUUGACGAAAGUGGCUUGGAAAUUUAAUUCACGAAAUCAAAGAAGCAAAGUUUCAGACUUUGGUAGCAUCAGAUAUACGAUAAUUUCUCCAAAGUUUAAAUUGUAUUAAUGUUAUAUUUCGAAUAUAAUCAAAAAGCGCGAUACGCAUACGUCUAACUAAGGAGCAUAAAAUUAAUCUCACGAUCGCAUUACGAACAAUGAUUAUUUGGAAGAAUAACCUAAGAUAAACCAUCGAAAGUCCACAAGUCCUCCACGUUCAUUCUGCAAAGAACAUGACUGUUCUCCAAACAACAGUGCCGACAUCAAAGUCAGCCCCGAUUUAAAACUUGCAUGUCUCGAGACAUUUCUCGCAAGAGCAAAACAAGAAAAAGGGGUUGUGUUCCGUCGAAACGUGGACGGCAACUACCUGAUGACAAGAAGAAAACAAUGAGCAGCAGCAGCGGCGGCGGCGGCAGCAACGUACGUUCCCCAUCGUGGCUGAAGGCCUGUACAAGAUGGCGCCUAGCAAGCCGGAGUACCACUCGGGCGAUUUCCGGUGGCUUUGUUCCGCGCACCACUCGUACACGGGGUGUAUUCGAUGAAACUCGAGGUUUAAAGGCGCGUUUUUCAGCCCCGUGCUAUGAGCUUACGUGCGUGCGCGAGAUAUAAAGAGGUUUUUCUUCUAUGAAGCCAGUUAGCCAACGAACCGGUAAUUCCUCCGCCGCUUCUACACGGCCCUCCUCUCCUCCUCGACUUCCUCUCUUUGCGCCGGUUCCUCGCGUUUCGACUUCAGCUUCCUCCUUUACUUCUUCUUCUUCUUCUUACCCUUUGCCGGCCUACCACCGUUCAUUCUCGCCUUUGCGCACUGCAGAAGAAGAAACGAGCCGGGUGCAGCUCAAGAUCUCUCCUCCUCUAACCAUCCCUUCCUCCCCGUUUCUCUUUCUCUUUCUACCACCGAGCGUUUUCCUGUUCCUCUUUUCAGUCGACGGUAAUGGAGGCCCUCGAAGCCGGUCCUUCUAGCGCCUCGACGAGCCUCCUACCUCCGCGAAACGAAACGAAACGAAACGAGAGACGAGACACGUUUACCCCACCGACGACUUUUACUUUCUUUCUCCCUCGGUCGCGCCCCCGUUUCUCCGUUUCCUGCGUUCUCGCUCGUUCCCUCGACAAGAAAAUGCAAACCUUGGUCGGUGUUAUAACGACGAGGCCAACGGCGCGUUGAUAUCGCUCGCUAAUGCUUUUUUCAUCGAUUAGGGUUAGCCGGUAUUCAUGGGCGACCGUUUCUAACGUUCGCGGCCGGAAAGAAGGCAUGGAGAUCGGUCACAGAGAACAUCUUCGAUCGCACGAUGAAAGAGUGGUACAUAAUAAGAGAAACCACAUGCAUUCUUUACAACCCGUCGAUGCAACGAGAUUUAAGAUUUACAGGAUGCUGUAUCGGGAGAUCGUUAUUGGAAUUUACCGCUCCAGGCGUUUACAGGUGCUUCUAUGGUUCUGACGGUGACUGUUAUCGAAAUUUAUGUUCAGAUACGAAGUACAUUAUGGAACAUGCGCAGUUUCGUGAUUACUAAAAGUAGUCGGUGGCCUUAGUCACUUAACACCUAUCGGCUUUGGUAAGAUCAGCACUGUCAUAAUUAGGGACCAAGAUAGUACCUCUACGAUAUAAACUAGUUCUCUUCGCAUAGUAGGUUACUUCACGUAUCUAGUAUCAAAAGUUUAUAAACUUUCAAAUUUUCAGGUCCUCGAACUUCCCCGAAACUCGGAGCAAACGUCAAUUCUAAGGGAGCUAUCAAGAUCCACCGAAUCGUAUCAUAGUUGCGACAGAAAAAUCAAUCUAUGGUUCCGGAUUAACAAUCGCGAGCGGAAUAAAACGCAUACGUCAAGUAAAAGCGUGACCGCGAGCGUCGUUUCGUUCUCCGGGUAUUUCAGCUUGGUCGAAGCAACCGGAGGGGGGUGGUGUGCAGAGAGAAUCGAGGGAAGAGGCGGGUGGCAAGAGGGACGCACGCGGGGGUAGGCAGGCAAGAAGGUAGGACAGGGUGUACGGAGGAGGGACGAAGAGGCAGAUGAGAGAGAAGGAGAACGGUAAAGGGCGAAGAUCGAAGGAGGACGGAGAGAAACACUUGACCCUGCCUGGCUGGUUGCCGCACAGCCGAUGCUGUGCCAGCAAACCCCACC